rnacentral:rRNA from 1 species
UACAGAGGUCUCAAGCGUUGUUCGGAUUCAUUGGGCGUAAAGGGUGUGUAGGUGGCGCGCUAAGUCGGGUGUGAAAUUUCGGAGCUUAACUCCGAAACUGCAUUCGAUACUGGCGUGCUUGAGGACUGGAGAGGAGACUGGAAUUCAUGGUGUAGCAGUGAAAUGCGUAGAGAUCAUGAGGAAGACCAGUGGCGAAGGCGGGUCUCCUGGA